GAUUGAACGCUGGCGGCAUGCCUUACACAUGCAAGUCGAACGGCAGCACGGGUGCUUGUACCUGGUGGCGAGUGGCGAACGGGUGAGUAAUACAUCGGAACAUGUCCUGUAGUGGGGGAUAGCCCGGCGAAAGCCGGAUUAAUACCGCAUACGAUCUACGGAUGAAAGCGGGGGACCUUCGGGCCUCGCGCUAUAGGGUUGGCCGAUGGCUGAUUAGCUAGUUGGUGGGGUAAAGGCCUACCAAGGCGACGAUCAGUAGCUGGUCUGAGAGGACGACCAGCCACACUGGGACUGAGACACGGCCCAGACUCCUACGGGAGGCAGCAGUGGGGAAUUUUGGACAAUGGGCGAAAGCCUGAUCCAGCAAUGCCGCGUGUGUGAAGAAGGCCUUCGGGUUGUAAAGCACUUUUGUCCGGAAAGAAAUCCUUGGCUCUAAUACAGUCGGGGGAUGACGGUACCGGAAGAAUAAGCACCGGCUAACUACGUGCCAGCAGCCGCGGUAAUACGUAGGGUGCGAGCGUUAAUCGGAAUUACUGGGCGUAAAGCGUGCGCAGGCGGUUUGCUAAGACCGAUGUGAAAUCCCCGGGCUCAACCUGGGAACUGCAUUGGUGACUGGCAGGCUAGAGUAUGGCAGAGGGGGGGUAGAAUUCCACGUGUAGCAGUGAAAUGCGUAGAGAUGUGGAGGAAUACCGAUGGCGAAGGCAGCCCCCUGGGCCAAUACUGACGCUCAUGCACGAAAGCGUGGGGAGCAAACAGGAUUAGAUACCCUGGUAGUCCACGCCCUAAACGAUGUCAACUAGUUGUUGGGGAUUCAUUUCCUUAGUAACGUAGCUAACGCGUGAAGUUGACCGCCUGGGGAGUACGGUCGCAAGAUUAAAACUCAAAGGAAUUGACGGGGACCCGCACAAGCGGUGGAUGAUGUGGAUUAAUUCGAUGCAACGCGAAAAACCUUACCUACCCUUGACAUGGUCGGAAUCCCGCUGAGAGGUGGGAGUGCUCGAAAGAGAACCGGCGCACAGGUGCUGCAUGGCUGUCGUCAGCUCGUGUCGUGGGAUGUUGGGUUAAGUCCCGCAACGAGCGCAACCCUUGUCCUUAGUUGCUACGCAAGAGCACUCUAAGGAGACUGCCGGUGACAAACCGGAGGAAGGUGGGGAUGACGUCAAGUCCUCAUGGCCCUUAUGGGUAGGGCUUCACACGUCAUACAAUGGUCGGAACAGAGGGUUGCCAACCCGCGAGGGGGAGCUAAUCCCAGAAAACCGAUCGUAGUCCGGAUUGCACUCUGCAACUCGAGUGCAUGAAGCUGGAAUCGCUAGUAAUCGCGGAUCAGCAUGCCGCGGUGAAUACGUUCCCGGGUCUUGUACACACCGC
rnacentral:rRNA from 1 species